AUUGAACGCUGGCGGCAGGCCUAACACAUGCAAGUCGAACGAGUGGCGGACGGGUGAGUAAUGUCUGGGAAACUGCCUGAUGGAGGGGGAUAACUACUGGAAACGGCAGCUAAUACCGCAUACCAUCAGAUGUGCCCAGAUGGGAUUAGCUCGCGGGUGGGGUAAUGGCUAACCAAGGCGACGAUCCCUAGCUGUUCUGAGAGGAGGACCAGCCACAGUGGAACUGAGACACGGUCCAGACUCCUACAGGAGGCAGCAGUGGGGAGUAUUGCACAAUGGGCGCAAGCCUGAUGCAACCAUGCCGCGUGUGUGAAGAAGGCCUUCGGGUUGUAAAGCACUUUCAGCGAGAAGGCGUUACUCGCAGAAGAAGCACCGGCUGACUCCGUGCCAGCAGCCGCGGUAAUUC
rnacentral:rRNA from 1 species